rnacentral:rRNA from 1 species
AUAAUACUCCAUAGAUUAGAGACACUGGAAUGUUCUGUAGUCGAAAGUUCUGGCGCCUUAGGAUGGAUCUGCGGUCGAUUAGGUUGUUGUUGGGGUAACGGCCCAACAAGCCUGUAAUCGAUACGGGUUUGUGGGAGCAAGAGCCCGGAGAUGGAAUCUGAGACACGAUUCCAGGCCCUACGGGGCGCAGCAGGCGCGAAAACUUUACAAUGCAGGAAACUGUGAUAAGGGAACUCCGAGUGCCCGUAUACGCGGGCUGUCCAGGUGUUUAAAAAUCAUCUGAAGAAAGGGCCGGGCAAGACCGGUGCCAGCCGCCGCGGUAAUACCGGCGGCUCGAGUGGUGGCCACUAUUAUUGGGCUUAAAGCGUCCGUAGCUGGACCGAUAAGUCUCUUGGGAAAUCCGCCGGCUCAACCGGCGGGCGUCUAAGGGAUACUGUUAGUCUAGGGACCGGGAGAGGUGAGAGGUACUCCGGGGGUAGGAGUGAAAUCCUGUAAUCCCCGGGGGACCACCGAUGGCGAAGGCAUCUCACCAGAACGGCUCCGACAGUGAGGGACGAAAGCUGGGGGAGCGAACCGGAUUAGAUACCCGGGUAGUCCCAGCCGUAAACUAUGCGCGUUAGGUGU